GUAUAUAUGUUUUUAAUUAUGACAUAAUUGCUUCAUAAAAAAUAUUGUACAAGAUAGACCAUAAACUAUGUCACGCCCUAGAAAUGAAAACAAGAAAAACAAGAUAUUGCAAACCCACACUGAUCAUGAUCUUGUGAUUAUUUAAAUUUAAUAAAACCACAAAUCUUUUUUAAAGUUCCUCUUUGGUUUUUUUCGGAGAAUAAUAAUAAAUUCGUCGAAUUAUUCCUUAUUGAGAAAAACAUCUGAUUAAGGAAGAACAUUUAAAUUAUGAAUAUAUGUUGAUUAUACUUCAUAAAGCAUUGGGUAAGUGCAGUAAACUUAAAAGGCAAAAUAUUCUUCAAAUUUAUAUUCGCAGGUAUAUAAUUUCCAGUCGUAAUACGUUUUGUCUCGUUGGAAGAAAAGGUAAAUUGGAUUGUUUACACGUGGUAAAAAGGUUAUUUUUUUAUUUGAGUGGCCACAAAUUAAAGAGAAACAAAUGAAAUAUCAUUGAAAAGAAAAAUAUGGACAGAAUAAAACAAACGAGGGAAGAAAAAACAAUAGCAAAAAAAUUCAAAACGAAAAUAAAAAGAAAACCAUGUUAAGUCACCAUGAGAUGGUUUGAUCCUUUAUCUUAGUAAAUCUGUAUGAUUUAAUAAAAUGAAAAGUGUGUUUUUUUUAAUCUAGUUUGAGAAAUGAGAAGCUUAUUUGAUUUCUUUGCUUUUUACACUGUUAUUUUUCAAGUUGCAAGGAUUUCAAGAAAAGAUAGGUUUCCUUGAACGAUAUUUUCCAAGAAAUCAGGUAUAUGAUAAACACUACUUGUAGUCGGUUCAUUCUAAGAUAAGAAGAACUCAAGAUGAAGUUCUGAAUUCCGUCUAACAAAAUAACAAUGCCAGUCUUUUUUUAACAGAUAAUCUGAGAAGAAUGUUGAAAUGGGAAAUUGUGUAAAAUGCCAUCUAGUUCGUGACUAUUCAGAACCCAGAUAUCCGACUGAAAACAUGCAUUCGGAACUCUUCCUAUCGGAGGGAAGUUUGGUGAGCUGUGAUUCAAAUUGUUCGCAGAGUACUCUGAAUGAACCAUCAAUGUUUUCUUUUAAAAGUGGGAUAAAAACCAAUAAUGUGUACUACGAAAAUGAUGCAUGUAUUAUUUGUUUAGAAAAAUACGAUGACAAAGUACACAAUCCAUUGAUUUUGCCUUGUGGACACAUGUUCUGUGCAGUGUGUAUUAGAAUGAUGGCAAAGAAAAGACGAUUCAAAUCGAUCAGAUGUCCAGUGGAUCGAGAGAAACAUCAUAUUACUAAAGAUGUUUCUCGCGCAGACAGCUCUUUACGGACUUUUGAUACAGAAGCACAAACAAUACAUAUGAGUGACAUCCUUUCAUUGAGUCAUAUUGAUCAAUCUUUAAAUGACCAGCAAAUACAAUUGAACCAACAUACAAUAGAAUACUUGGAUUCAUGGUAUGCUCAUGGCUUACAACAAUCACUAGAACUGUCAUCAUGGGAACCAAAUGAGCACCAUUCUCUGCAAAGUUAUUGGGAAAGAUAAAGACUCUGAACAAACAGAAUCGUAGCAUAUGAUUGGUGUGAUGCAAUUAUCUUCAAGAACAAUUUCAGUGCUUAAACAAAACAUAAAAAAAUUAGUCAUUUUGCUUGUAUCUACCUCUAUUUCCAUCAUCGUAUGGAUAUGCUUUUUACUUAUUUUAUUUUCAUACCUCGUUUACCUACAAAUAUCAUAGGACAAACCAUGUAAUCUUUUCUAUCUAUUCUUGAAAAUAUUUCUUGUGACAUUUGUACCUCAAAUAUGACUUAAAUCCAGUAAAAAUAUACAUGCAUUCCUGUUUCCACUGUUGUGGUCUGUAUUAUGAAGAAAACAUAUUAAUAGGUUUAUCAAGUCUCAUUUAUUAUUAUAUUGCAGGUUGUCCUUAAAGCUCGUUUAUUAUUUAUAUAUUGAAAUUAAAUAUGAGAUUUGAUAUCAAGCGAUAUCCAA